GUUGUAUAGUCAAGUAAUUAAGUGCAUGUGGUGGAUGCCUUGGCAGUCAGAGGCGAUGAAAGACGUGAUAGCCUGCGAAAAGCUCCGGGGAGGCGGCAAAUAUCCUUUGAUCCGGAGAUGUCUGAAUGGGGGAACCCACCUACUUUAAGGUAGGUAUUGCAACAUGAAUACAUAGUGUUGCAAGGCGAACGAGGGGAAGUGAAACAUCUCAGUACCCUUAGGAAAAGAAAUCAAUUGAGAUUCCCUCAGUAGCGGCGAGCGAACGGGGAUCAGCCCAUUAAGUUAUGUGUGUUUUAGUGGAACGCUCUGGGAAGUGCGAACGUAGAGGGUGAUAUUCCCGUACACGAAAGGGCACACAUAAUGAUGACGAGUAGGGCGAGGCACGUGAAACCUUGUCUGAAUAUGGGGGGACCAUCCUCCAAGGCUAAAUACUCCUGACUGACCGAUAGUGAACCAGUACCGUGAGGGAAAGGCGAAAAGAACCCCUGUGAGGGGAGUGAAAUAGAUCCUGAAACCGCAUGCAUACAAGCAGUGGGAGCACCUUCGUGGUGUGACUGCGUACCUUUUGUAUAAUGGGUCAGCGACUUAUAUUCAGUAGCAAGGUUAACCGUAUAGGGGAGCCGUAGAGAAAUCGAGUCUUAAUAGGGCGUUUAGUUGCUGGGUAUAGACCCGAAACCAGGCGAUCUAUCCAUGAGCAGGUUGAAGGUUGGGUAACACUAACUGGAGGACCGAACCCACUGUCGUUGAAAAGCCAGGGGAUGACUUGUGGAUAGGGGUGAAAGGCUAAUCAAGCCUGGUGAUAGCUGGUUCUCCCCGAAAGCUAUUUAGGUAGCGCCUCGGACGAAUACCAUAGGGGGUAGAGCACUGUUUCGGCUAGGGGGUCAUCCCGACUUACCAAACCGAUGCAAACUCCGAAUACCUAUGAGUACUAUCCGGGAGACAGACUGCGGGUGCUAACGUCCGUAGUCAAGAGGAAAACAAUCCAGACCGCCAGCUAAGGCCCCAAAAUCAUAGUUAAGUGGGAAACGAUGUGGGAAGGCAUAGACAGCUAGGAGGUUGGCUUAGAAGCAGCCACCCUUUAAAGAAAGCGUAAUAGCUCACUAGUCGAGUCGGCCUGCGCGGAAGAUGUAACGGGGCUAAAACUAUGUGCCGAAGCUGCGGANNNNNNNNNNNNNNNNNNNNNNNNNNNNNNNNNNNAUGCUGGAGGUAUCAGAAGUGCGAAUGCUGACGUGAGUAACGACAAAACGGGUGAAAAACCCGUUCGCCGAAAGACCAAGGGUUCCAGUCCAACGUUAAUCGGGGCUGGGUGAGUCGACCCCUAAGGCGAGGCCGAAAGGCGUAGUCGAUGGGAAAAUGGUUAAUAUUCCAUUACUUCUGUGUAAUGCGAUGAGAGGACGGAGAAGGCUAAAUCAGCCUGGCGUUGGUUGUCCAGGUGAAAGGAUGUAGGCAUGUAUCUUAGGCAAAUCCGGGGUACUCUAUGCUGAGAUCUGAUAGCAAGCUGUACUUGUACAGCGAAGUGGUUGAUGCCAUGCUUCCAGGAAAAGUCUCUAAGCUUCAGUUACACAGGAAUCGUACCCGAAACCGACACAGGUGGUCAGGUCGAGUAGACCAAGGCGCUUGAGAGAACUCUGCUGAAGGAACUAGGCAAAAUGGUACCGUAACUUCGGGAGAAGGUACGCUGUUGUUGGUGAUGGAACUCGCUUCCUGAGCUGACGACAGCCGCAGAAACCAGGCCGCUGCAACUGUUUAUUAAAAACAUAGCACUCUGCAAACACGAAAGUGGACGUAUAGGGUGUGAUGCCUGCCCGGUGCUGGAAGGUUAAUUGAUGGGGUUAGCGUAAGCGAAGCUCUUGAUCGAAGCCCCAGUAAACGGCGGCCGUAACUAUAACGGUCCUAAGGUAGCGAAAUUCCUUGUCGGGUAAGUUCCGACCUGCACGAAUGGCAUAAUGAUGGCGGCGCUGUCUCCAGCAGAGGCUCAGUGAAAUCGAAAUCGCUGUGAAGAUGCAGUGUACCCGCGGCUAGACGGAAAGACCCCGUGAACCUUUACUGCAGCUUGACACUGAACUUUGACCUUACUUGUGUAGGAUAGGUGGGAGGCUUUGAAGCUGGAACGCUAGUUCCAGUGGAGCCGUCCUUGAAAUACCACCCUGGUAAUGUUGAGGUUCUAACUCUGUCCCGUGAUCCGGGACGAGGACCGUGUCUGGUGGGUAGUUUGACUGGGGCGGUCUCCUCCUAAAGAGUAACGGAGGAGUACGAAGGUGCGCUCAGCGUGGUCGGAAAUCACGCGUAGAGUAUAAAGGCAAAAGCGCGCUUAACUGCGAGACCCACAAGUCGAGCAGGUACGAAAGUAGGUCUUAGUGAUCCGGUGGUUCUGUAUGGAAGGGCCAUCGCUCAACGGAUAAAAGGUACUCUGGGGAUAACAGGCUGAUACCGCCCAAGAGUUCAUAUCGACGGCGGUGUUUGGCACCUCGAUGUCGGCUCAUCUCAUCCUGGGGCUGAAGCAGGUCCCAAGGGUAUGGCUGUUCGCCAUUUAAAGAGGUACGCGAGCUGGGUUUAGAACGUCGUGAGACAGUUCGGUCCCUAUCUACCGUGGGCGCUGGAAAUUUGAGAGGAUCUGCUCCUAGUACGAGAGGACCAGAGUGGACGAACCUCUGGUGUACCGGUUGUGACGCCAGUCGCAUCGCCGGGUAGCUAUGUUCGGAAGGGAUAACCGCUGAAAGCAUCUAAGCGGGAAGCCUACCUCAAGAUAAGAUUUCCCUAGGACUUUAUGUCCUCUAAAGAGCCGUUCGAGACUAGGACGUUGAUAGGUUGGAUGUGGAAGCAUAGUGAUAUGUGAAGCUGACCAAUACUAAUUGCUCGUGAGGCUUGACUAUACAACACCCAAGCAGUUG
rnacentral:rRNA from 1 species